rnacentral:rRNA from 1 species
UAGAGCUAAUACAUGCCGACGGGCGCUGACCCCCCUCGCGGGGGGGAUGCGUGCAUUUAUCAGAUCAAAACCAACCCGGUCAGCUUCCCUCCGGGCGCCGGCGGCUUUGGUGACUCUACAUAACCUCGGGCCGAUCGCACGCCCCCCGUGGCGGCGACGACCCAUUCGAACGUCUGCCCUAUCAACUUUCGAUGGUAGUCGCCGUGCCUACCA